rnacentral:rRNA from 1 species
GGGGAUUUGGACAAUGGGGAACCUGAUCCAGCCAUCCCGCGUGUGCGAUGAAGGCUUCGGGUUGUAAAGCACUUUGUCAGGGAAGAAAGGUUUCGGAUAAUACCCGGAACUGAUGACGGUACUGAAGAAUAAGCACCGGCUAACUACGUGCCAGCAGCCGCGGUAAUACGUAGGGUGCAAGCGUUAAUCGGAAUUACUGGGCGUAAAGCGUGCGCAGGCGGUUCGGAAAGAAAGAUGUGAAAUCCCCAGGGCUCAACCUUGGAACUGCAUUUUUAACUACCGGACUAGAGUAUGUCAGAGGGGGGUGGAAUUCCACGUGUAGCAGUGAAAUGCGUAGAUAUGUGGAGGAACACCGAUGGCGAAGGCAGCCCCCUGGGAUAAUACUGACGCUCAUGCACGAAAGCGUGGGGAGCAAACAGGAUUAGAUACCCUGGUAGUCCACGCCCUAAACGAUGUCAACUAGCUGUUGGGCCCUUCGGGGCUUAGUAGCGCAGCUAACGCGUGAAGUUGACCGCCUGGGGAGUACGGUCGCAAGGUUAAAACUCAAAGGAAUUGACGGGGACCCGCACAAGCGGUGGAUGAUGUGGAUUAAUUCGAUGCAACGCGAAAAACCUUACCUACCCUUGACAUGUCUGGAAUCCUGAAGAGAUUUAGGAGUGCUCGCAAGAGAACCGGAACACAGGUGCUGCAUGGCUGUCGUCAGCUCGUGUCGUGAGAUGUUGGGUUAAGUCCCGCAACGAGCGCAACCCUUGUCAUUAGUUGCUACAUUUAGUUGAGCACUCUAAUGAGACUGCCGGUGACAAACCGGAGGAAGGUGGGGAUGACGUCAAGUCCUCAUGGCCCUUAUGGGUAGGGCUUCACACGUCAUACAAUGGUCGGGACAGAGGGUUGCCAAGCCGCAAGGUGGAGCCAAUCUCACAAACCCGAUCGUAGUCCGGAUUGCAGGCUGCAACUCGCCUGCAUGAAGUCGGAAUCGCUAGUAAUCGCGAUCAGC